rnacentral:sRNA from 1 species
AUUAAAAAAGAGACCGAGCUAAUUCCAAUACUCGGUCUUGGGAAAUGGCUCUAGAGAGCCGUGCGCUAAAAUUUGUCAUAGAGACGUAACAAAAUGCAAUUUAAUACUAGCUGUCAGUUACAAAAUUAGCUAGUAA